CGGGAUGCAAUGGCAUCAGCAGCCGCCCCACCACCAGCAGGAGCCGGAGCCACCUAUGCUGUCGGCUGCCCUCGGGUUGGGGCUCUCCUAUCAGCAUGAGAUGAUGGGCUCUUCGUCGCUGUUUGGGCCGAAGCCAUCUGCGACAUUGGAUUUCUUGGGGCUGGGGAUGAGGCCGGGUGGCUCGGGCACUGGCGGGCUAUCUGCGUUGAUCACUUCUAUGGGAAGUGACCUAGAUGAAGUUGAUGUAGCAGCCCCGACGGG
rnacentral:misc_RNA from 1 species